GUCAUAAUAAGCAGAGACAUGGUUCACAGGACCAGAAGUACCUCCUAUGCAUCUUCCGAAUUAGCUGUUGAUUUUGUUGUUGUCAUUUGCCUAUUAAGGUGUUACAUUUUCCUACUUACCUUGCCUCUCCUGUUUCUUUAAACAUUUUCAGAUGCAGCACUUCUCCUUCAAGAUUUAAGAUACCGUUCUUCUGGAGGAAAACACUGAAAGCAGUCCUAGAUGUACAUUUUGUUUUAAUCUCCUUUUUCCAAAACGGUGUGGGAGAAACUUUUCUUAGUGGCUAUGAUACAGUUGUUGGGGUGCACCUGUUGAAUGCAAGUUUCAAGGGCAGCUACCAGGUCUCAGGACUUCGGAACUUGUUCUUCUAAAUCUUCCUUCUCUGUGAUUUUGAAGAAUCAUAAAAUAGCAUCAAUAAAUUCAUAUUCUACUUAGAAAAUGGAUUAAAGUCACCUACGUAACUUGGUUGAAAGGGUGACAAAAUGCUUUCAACCAUCUGAGCAUAUAGAAGUUGAAAAGAUCCCAAGAGUUACUACCUUGGUUGUGAUAGGAAGUUUAUG
ensembl:lncRNA